GACGUAGGGGGCGAGCGUUGUCCGGAUUUAUUGGGCGUAAAGAGCGCGUAGGCGGCCCGUUAAGUCGGAGGUGAAAACCCGUGGCUCAACCACGGGCCUGCAUCCGAUACUGGCGGGCUCGAGGCAGGCAGGGGAGAUCGGAAUUCCUGGUGUAGCGGUGAAAUGCGCAGAUAUCAGGAGGAACACCGAUGGCGAAGGCAGGUCUCUGGGCUGACACUGACGCUCAUGCAC
rnacentral:rRNA from 1 species